AAAUUGAAGAGUUUGAUCAUGGCUCAGAUUGAACGCUGGCGGCAGGCCUAACACAUGCAAGUCGAGCGGUAGCACAGAGAGCUUGCUCUCGGGUGACGAGCGGCGGACGGGUGAGUAAUGUCUGGGAAACUGCCUGAUGGAGGGGGAUAACUACUGGAAACGGUAGCUAAUACCGCAUAAUGUCGCAAGACCAAAGUGGGGGACCUUCGGGCCUCAUGCCAUCAGAUGUGCCCAGAUGGGAUUAGCUAGUAGGUGGGGUAACGGCUCACCUAGGCGACGAUCCCUAGCUGGUCUGAGAGGAUGACCAGCCACACUGGAACUGAGACACGGUCCAGACUCCUACGGGAGGCAGCAGUGGGGAAUAUUGCACAAUGGGCGCAAGCCUGAUGCAGCCAUGCCGCGUGUGUGAAGAAGGCCUUCGGGUUGUAAAGCACUUUCAGCGGGGAGGAAGGCGGUGAGGUUAAUAACCUCAUCGAUUGACGUUACCCGCAGAAGAAGCACCGGCUAACUCCGUGCCAGCAGCCGCGGUAAUACGGAGGGUGCAAGCGUUAAUCGGAAUUACUGGGCGUAAAGCGCACGCAGGCGGUCUGUCAAGUCGGAUGUGAAAUCCCCGGGCUCAACCUGGGAACUGCAUUCGAAACUGGCAGGCUAGAGUCUUGUAGAGGGGGGUAGAAUUCCAGGUGUAGCGGUGAAAUGCGUAGAGAUCUGGAGGAAUACCGGUGGCGAAGGCGGCCCCCUGGACAAAGACUGACGCUCAGGUGCGAAAGCGUGGGGAGCAAACAGGAUUAGAUACCCUGGUAGUCCACGCCGUAAACGAUGUCGAUUUGGAGGUUGUGCCCUUGAGGCGUGGCUUCCGGAGCUAACGCGUUAAAUCGACCGCCUGGGGAGUACGGCCGCAAGGUUAAAACUCAAAUGAAUUGACGGGGGCCCGCACAAGCGGUGGAGCAUGUGGUUUAAUUCGAUGCAACGCGAAGAACCUUACCUGGUCUUGACAUCCACAGAACUUAGCAGAGAUGCUUUGGUGCCUUCGGGAACUGUGAGACAGGUGCUGCAUGGCUGUCGUCAGCUCGUGUUGUGAAAUGUUGGGUUAAGUCCCGCAACGAGCGCAACCCUUAUCCUUUGUUGCCAGCGGUUAGGCCGGGAACUCAAAGGAGACUGCCAGUGAUAAACUGGAGGAAGGUGGGGAUGACGUCAAGUCAUCAUGGCCCUUACGACCAGGGCUACACACGUGCUACAAUGGCAUAUACAAAGAGAAGCGACCUCGCGAGAGCAAGCGGACCUCAUAAAGUAUGUCGUAGUCCGGAUUGGAGUCUGCAACUCGACUCCAUGAAGUCGGAAUCGCUAGUAAUCGUAGAUCAGAAUGCUACGGUGAAUACGUUCCCGGGCCUUGUACACACCGCCCGUCACACCAUGGGAGUGGGUUGCAAAAGAAGUAGGUAGCUUAACCUUCGGGAGGGCGCUUACCACUUUGUGAUUCAUGACUGGGGUGAAGUCGUAACAAGGUAACCGUAGGGGAACCUGCGGUUGGAUCACCUCCUUA
rfam:Klebsiella pneumoniae subsp. pneumoniae MGH 78578, complete sequence.